AUUGAACGCUGGCGGCAUGCCUUACACAUGCAAGUCGAACGGCAGCACGGGUGCUUGCACCUGGUGGCGAGUGGCGAACGGGUGAGUAAUACAUCGGAACAUGUCCUGUAGUGGGGGAUAGCCCGGCGAAAGCCGGAUUAAUACCGCAUACGAUCUACGGAUGAAAGCGGGGGACCUUCGGGCCUCGCGCUAUCGGGUUGGCCGAUGGCUGAUUAGCUAGUUGGUGGGGUAAAGGCCUACCAAGGCGACGAUCAGUAGCUGGUCUGAGAGGACGACCAGCCACACUGGGACUGAGAUACGGCCCAGACUCCUACGGGAGGCAGCAGUGGGGAAUUUUGGACAAUGGGCGAAAGCCUGAUCCAGCAAUGCCGCGUGUGUGAAGAAGGCCUUCGGGUUGUAAAGCACUUUUGUCCGGAAAGAAAUCCUUGGCCCUAAUACGGUCGGGGGAUGACGGUACCGGAAGAAUAAGCACCGGCUAACUACGU
rnacentral:rRNA from 1 species